rnacentral:rRNA from 1 species
GAUGAACGCUAGCGGCAGGCUUAUUACAUGCAAGUCGAGGGGCAACAGGUGUAGCAAUACAUGCUGGCGACCGGCGCACGGGUGCGUAACACGUAUGCAAUCUGCCUCUUACAGGGGGAUAGCCCGGAGAAAUUCGGAUUAAUACCCCAUAACAUAUUGAACGGCAUCGUUUGAUAUUAAAAGUUCCGACGGUAAGAGAUGAGCAUGCGACUGAUUAGCUAGUUGGUGAGGUAACGGCUCACCAAGGCUACGAUCAGUAGGGGUUCUGAGAGGAAGGUCCCCCACACUGGAGCUGAGACACGGUCCAGACUCCUACGGGAGGCAGCAGUGAGGAAUAUUGGUCAAUGGUCGAGAGACUGAACCAGCCAAGUAGCGUGAAGGAUGACUGCCCUAUGGGUUGUAAACUUCUUUUGUUUGGGAAUAAAGUCAGGUACGUGUACCUGUUUGUAUGUACCAUUCGAAUAGGCAUCGGCUAAUUCCGUGCCAGCCGCCGCGGUAACAC